CGGAAUUAUUGGGCGUAAGAGCUCGUAGGCGGUUUGUCGCGUCUGCCGUGAAAGUCCGGGGCUCAACUCCGGAUCUGCGGUGGGUACGGGCAGACUAGAGUGAUGUAGGGGAGACUGGAAUUCCUGGUGUAGCGGUGAAAUGCGCAGAUAUCAGGAGGAACACCGAUGGCGAAGGCAGGUCUCUGGGCAUUAACUGACGCUGAGGAGCGAAAGCAUGGGGAGCGAACAGGAUUAGAUACCCUGGUAGUCCAUGCCGUAAACGUUGGGCACUAGGUGUGGGGGACAUUCCACGUUUUCCGCGCCGUAGCUAACGCAUUAAGUGCCCCGCCUGGGGAGUACGGCCGCAAGGCUAAAACUCAAAUGAAUUGACGGA
rnacentral:rRNA from 1 species